ACGCUAGAGAAGCAUCUACACUAUUAGUGGUAAAUGUUGAAGAUGUGGAUGAUGUUCACACAGUCUUUGUUUAUAACAAGCAAGAUGAUUUGGUACCAUGGCAGAUUACAGUUGGAAUUUUAAUUGUCAUUAUAAUAAUUGGAGGCAGUCUUGUCACUGUUGUUAUCAUUAAACUGUUGCAUAAAUUACCUGACAACAAAUUAAGUCAUGAUAUUUAUAUGUUUGCUGUUGAAGACAAUAAUCCGAACCAGAUUCAUACUUAUGCAUCACUUGAGGAUACGGAAGGAGUUCAUAGACAGCACACUUCAGGUUGUGAUAGUAUUCAAAGCAAUUACACAAAUACGGUAUCUGGAUCUAUUACUGCCAUUGACAAAAGGACGCAACCGUCAGAAAAUCAUAUAAACCAGAUAGUCAGAGGUUUGAGCGAUACCUCUGAAACGUAUGAAAUCGUAAAUUAAAAUCCAUCACAUGCUUGAUUAUGCAUAUGAUAAAAAGUAUUUUGACAAGUUACAUUUUUGCAUAAAUGUUAAACAAGAAAUGGAUAUUUUGAAAUAUAGUUUUACAUAUCAAUUAAUGUCACCAUAGUCCACCUUUUGUAUUUGAUGUGGCCUUCAAACUGUUUUUAAUUGAGACUGAUGAGUCAUCUCAUAGUACUCGCAGGUUCAAAUCAUUCGCGCCAAAUGCGCAGGAAGUUGCGCAAUGAUAUCGUAAGUCAUACCUAUUGUUGUAACUGGGAAUAACAAUUAAUUUUGAUUAUUAGAAAUAAUCUAUUUUAUUUGAAGAAUAUAUUUACAGAGUGUUGUAAUUGAAAACUGUAAUUUCAAAAUUUUAUAAAAUUUAUUAUUGCAAUUUACAUUGUUGCAAAUGCACUUUCGUUUUGGAAAAUGGCAUGUUAUUGAAAGUAGGCAAACUCCGAAAUAGUGGUGGCAUCAUGCUUCUCUUCUUUACACUACUAUUUAUGUAUAUUUCUCCAAUUUUUACACGAUUUAUUCUUUUCAUGACAUGUUGAUUAUUUUUAUUUAAUCAGUUCUUCAUUGGUCAAAAUUCGAUUAUGACGUCGAAUUUUCUUGCUUCCCUCUGAAUUUCCUAUUGUGACGACAUGAAAAAAGACGACCAUGUCGACGUCACAUAACAUAGAAAGAACACAUCUUUUUGCAGAUCAUUUGAAAGGAAGGAUUGUAUUGUCUGCAUAUUGUUUAAAAUUCAUUAGAGAAAGAGAUUCGACCACCAAAUCUCGUGUAAUACGAUAUUUAUCCACUCUUGACAGUUGAAUUUUAAAUAUUUAAAACGCUCGGCGAGCCUCGCGUUUUAGAUUUGAAAAUUUAACUGUAUCGAGUGGAUAAAUAUCGUAUCACACUCGAUGCAGUGGUAGAAUCUAUAUAUAUAUAUAUAUAUAUACUUCAUCUGAGACAGACUAUGUCCCAGAUUGUGUGUUAUGUAUGUUUUGAUUUUAUAUAAGAAUUUUUAAUUGAUAAUGAUAUGCUCAUAAUCAGAAAUAAAUUUUUAUUUGAUUUA